rnacentral:rRNA from 1 species
AAGAGACAGCAGUCGCCGCGGGAAUACGAAGGGUGCAAGCGUUACUCGGAAUUACUGGGCGUAAAGCGUGCGUAGGUGGUGGUUUAAGUCCGUUGUGAAAGCCCUGGGCUCAACCUGGGAAUUGCAGUGGAUACUGGGUCACUAGAGUGUGGUAGAGGAUAGUGGAAUUUCCGGUGUAGCGGUGAAAUGCGUAGAGAUCGGGAGGAACAUCAGUGGCGAAGGCGGCCAUCUGGGACAACACUGACGCUGAGGCACGAAAGCGUGGGGAGCAAACAGGAUUAGAUACCCCCGUAGUCCCUGUCUCUUAUAC